GGGAACACUCUUUUCUAACCACGAUCUGAUGAGGUCCGGAGAGCGGAGAGCAAACUGAAGGUGUUCAGACCCAUCUGAGCCCUUCUUUCCCACUGUCAGCCUGCAGUGAGUGCUGACUGUGCUGGGAUGCUGUGACUUCUCCAGCAUUAAACGAACUUCUGGAAAACAGGGUCCCCUUUAUCAUCCCCAUGUGGUCUCUGUGUCCCACAGUUUCCACUUUCAGCAGGGAACGUCUCUGCUCCUGCUGAUGUUCUGCAGAAAUGCUCAUUUCCACGAUGGAGGGAGAAGAGAUGGAGACCCUGGCCAACAGAGAGGAGGAGAGGAGUGAAAGAGCGCUGACACAACACGUGGUUGCCUGUCCUGAGCGGCUUCUCCUCUGUCCCCAACUGAUGUCACCCUGGACCCGAACACCGCCAACCCUUUCCUCCUCCUGGCUGACGAUGGGAGAUGUGAGACGUGGGGAUGCGUUCGGCACGGAGCUGAGGUCGGUGAUGGAUGGGGAGCUGGAAGGUCUUGGAGACAGAUGCCACACAGGAGCUUCUCCAUCCCCCCCCCCGCCCCACAGCAUGGGGGGCACUGAGGAGAUCACUGCAAGGGUACCCCGGGACUGAGUGGUGGCACCAAGCACUGGGGCUGCACAUCGGCUCUGUGCAUGGCCAGGAGAAAUACAGCAGAUCCAAAGGUCUCGAAAGAAGCUCAGUACGAUGUCUGGCUUUUUCCAGAUAAGCUCAACGAUGAACUGAAAAAUAUAAAAGCACAGCUCACGAUAACACAUCUUCUCCAUACAUCUGAACCCUCUCUCUGCCUUAUUCCCAGCUCUCACUGGCAUGUGCUUUGGGCGUGUGUGUCUUCCUCCACACUUCUUGCAGCAGAGCACUGGGAAAAGCUGUAGGGACAGGCAGGGAAAGUGAGGCAGAAACCGAGGUGCCCAAAGUCCAUAGGCCGGAUCGCUCCCGUGGACUUGCCAUGCUUGGAUCUCCAUCCUCCCUCCAUCUUGGUCUCCUUUUCCCCCUUCAGCACAGUCUUUCCGCUGUUCAAAAACACACAGGGCACUGAAACAACCCAACUCAGCCUCUCCCAGGAAUACACCUGGAGCCAUUUGCUGGGGGAAAUUCUGCCAGUAGAAGCUGAUCCGUUCCAGUUCCAUUAGCAGAAGCAGUCAAGGCGGAGAUGCAUCAGGAAGUUAAACUUUCUCCAUGGUUUGCCAGGAAUCUGCUGUUGGCAUCCAAGAAAACCAAUUAAUAUCAGGAGAGGAUUGCUGAAGAUGCACACAUACCCUGUCCUGCUGCUGCAGCUGUUUUGUUUCAUUCCCUUCUUUGCCUGUCAGGAAAUACGGACAUGAGCAGUGCAUCGCUGAUAUGUGAGCAGUCUGCCUUUUCUGCAGGGCAGAAAUCUCUGCAAUCCCAAAGCAGCAUCACUAUAAAAGGGAGAAAGAAGCACAUACCCAUCCAGAACGUCACCGGCAUCCCAGAGAGGAGAUAAACACAGGUCUGUUUUUGUGAGACCUUGGGUAACAAAGCUCUCGUGCACAGCAGCAAUUCUGGCACUAUAAAACGAGGGGGGAAGCUUCUCGUGUGCGUAUGUUGUUUAGAAUAAUAAACCGAGUGUUUGAAGGAG